GGAGGGUGCAAGCGUUAAUCGGAAUUACUGGGCGUAAAGCGCACGCAGGUGGCUGAGUCAGUCGAUUGUGAAAGCCCUCGGCUUAACCGAGGAAGUGCAUUCGAAACUACAGGACUUGAAUACUGGAGAGGAUUGCGGAAUUCCCGGUGUAGAGGUGAAAUUCGUAGAUAUCGGGAGGAACACCAGUGGCGAAGGCGGCUUCCUGGCCCAAUACUGACACUCAGGUGCGACAGCGUGGGGAGCAAACAGGAUUAGAUACCCUGGUAGUCCACGCCGUAAACGAUGGAUGCUAGUCGUCGCGGGUAUUGACCCCUGCGGCAACGCAGUUAACGCAUUAAGCAUCCCGCCUGGGGAGUACGGCCGCAAGGCUA
rnacentral:rRNA from 1 species